UUGAAACAGCAGUUCCGAUACAAUCACCGAAGUUAAGCAGCAUUGAGCCUGGUCAGUAUCUAGAUAGGUGACCGCUUGGGAAUACCAGGUGUUGUAAU